CCUACGGGAGGCAGCAGUGAGGAAUAUUGGUCAAUGGCCGGAAGGCUGAACCAGCCAUGCCGCGUGAAGGUCAGUGCCCUAUGGGCGUUAAACUUCUUUUGUGCGGGAGCAAUAAUGGUCACGUGUGGCCAGACGAGAGUACCGUACGAAUAAGCAUCGGCUAACUCCGUGCCAGCAGCCGCGGUAAUACGUGGGAUGCAAGCGUUAUCCGGAUUUAUUGGGGUUAAAGGGUGCGUAGGCUGUGAGGUAAGUCAGCGGUGAAAUGCCCCCGCUCAACGGGGUGAAGUGCCAUUGAUACUGCUUUGCUUGAAUGCGGAUGCCGUGGGAGGAAUGUGUGGUGUAGCGGUGAAAUGCAUAGAUAUCACACAGAACACCGAUUGCGAAGGCAUCUCACGAAUCCGCGAUUGACGCUGAUGCACGAAAGCGUGGGUAUCAAACAGGAUUAGAUACCCGAGUAGUC
rnacentral:rRNA from 1 species